GACGAACGCUGGCGGCGUGCUUAACACAUGCCAGUCGAACGGGAUUUCGUAAACAGAAGCCUCGGUGGAAGAUUACUAAUGAGAGUGGCGAACGGGUGAGUAACGCGUGAGCAACCUGCCUAUGACAGUGGGAUAGCCUCGGGAAACCGGGAUUAAUACCGCAUAAAAUCGUAGAAACACAUGUUUUAACGGUCUAAGAUUUAUCGGUCAUAGAUGGGCUCGCGUCUGAUUAGCUAGUUGGUGAGAUAACAGCCCACCAAGGCGACGAUCAGUAGCCGGUCUGAGAGGAUGAACGGCCACAUUGGAACUGAGACACGGUCCAAACUCCUACGGGAGGCAGCAGUGGGGAAUAUUGCACAAUGGGGGAAACCCUGAUGCAGCGACGCCGCGUGAACGAAGAAGGUAUUCGUAUCGUAAAGUUCUGUCCUAUGGGAAGAUAAUGACAGUACCAUAGAAGAAAGCUCCGGCUAAAUACGUG
rnacentral:rRNA from 1 species